CAGUUUGUUGUCCACGAGCUUGAACUUCGGGAACUGCGCGGGAACAUCUUUGAUGUUUUGGACCAUGUCGGUGUACCAAGCAUCGGUGGAGUCCAACGUGCACACCUGCAGCUGUUCAACCACCGCCCUGGAUAACGCGUCAGAUUAGGGCGAGUUUGACUUUAAAUAUGGCAAAAUCGGUUUAGAAUCGAAAAAGAACGAUUUGUUUGAAUGGUGUUCUAAUUGAACUGAAUCGCUGAACCCAACCCAAUAUCCCAACAAACUCCCAGUAUGAUCCAAGAACGUUACCAAAAUGAGCUCAAAUCAUAUAAACCGAUCAACUCUACUUACUCCGGUUUUCACGCACAAACCCACUCCAAACCUCAAUAGCCUAGACGUGACGAGCUGCCGAAAUCCGCGUUGUUCGUUAUCGGUGUAACGUUCUCAAAAUCCCACCGGUUGGGCGCCAAUGUAACUUGAUUUUUUCGACCAGUAAACCCCGGGAGCUUCCGGGUCUUUUAUUGGGAACAGAAAGUUCAAUAAUCUUAAAAUUAAUACUACAUGCACAUGCGUUCGUGCGAUGCCCUCUCUUUGACCGGGCAGACUCGUGGCGUCGGUAGAGCUAUGAGGUUAGGGUGGGUCUGCAACGAAACAAAGAGAGAGAAAACGAUGGAAUACGUUCGCACAAUACGCCCCCUACUGGGCAAAUCCAGUCGCUCUUCGCACGUUUAGCGAAGACGCGGACUCGGAUCACAACAAGGAUCAGACUCACCUCCUCCGACAACUCCCGGCGGCGCAGGAUUUGUCCGGACAGGAUGCUGCCUCUGGCUCGUGGUUCACCGCUGGCUCCUUGGCGAUUAUCCGCGGCGGCCGACCACGAUCACUUCCGGUGGGCUGCUGUAACGGGUUGCGGUCAACGGCGGAUUUGAAGCCUCCCUGUCCUCCGGUGUCCCCCAGACACGUUCAGGCACUCGCGGGCAAGCUUAAAUAAACCACUCCUUUAGCACAAAUUAAAAGAAA